ACCCGCUGAACUUAAGCAUAUCAAUAAGCGGAGGAAAAGAAACCAACAGGGAUUGCCCUAGUAACGGCGAGUGAAGCGGCAACAGCUCAAAUUUGAAAUCUGGCGUCUUUGGCGUCCGAGUUGUAAUUUGCAGAGGGCGCUUUGGCAUUGGCAGCGGUCCAAGUUCCUUGGAACAGGACGUCACAGAGGGUGAGAAUCCCGUACGUGGUCGCUAGCCUUUACCGUGUAAAGCCCCUUCGACGAGUCGAGUUGUUUGGGAAUGCAGCUCUAAAUGGGAGGUAAAUUUCUUCUAAAGCUAAAUACUGGCCAGAGACCGAUAGCGCACAAGUAGAGUGACCGAAAGAUGAAAAGCACUUUGGAAAGAGAGUUAAAAAGCACGUGAAAUUGUUGAAAGGGAAGCGCUUGCAGCCAGACUUGCCUGUAGUUGCUCAUCCGGGUUUUUACCCGGUGCACUCUUCUAUAGGCAGGCCAGCAUCAGUUUGGGCGGUUGGAUAAAGGUCUCUGUCAUGUACCUCUCUUCGGGGAGAACUUAUAGGGGAGACGACAUGCAACCAGCCCGGACUGAGGUCCGCGCAUCUGCUAGGAUGCUGGCGUAAUGGCUGU
rnacentral:rRNA from 1 species